AAAUCCUUGGUGGCGCAGUCGUCCAGGACGGU
rnacentral:sRNA from 1 species